GUAACUGAGGCAGUCCCAGCAGGCUGCUCGGAGGCCAUCAAGCCCAAAGAGUGCGAAAUGCCUCCGCCGAAGCCCGAGGCCCCAUUCCAAAUAAACACCUUUAUUGCGACCAUUCCAUCUCCGCCACCCGAUUGCCCGCCUCAUCGAAAAACAAAUGACACGGCCGAUAAAGACAUGAAAGAAAGAAAAGCGGGGAGGAGUGGAAAGGAAGUGCUUCAAACAUUGAACUUCCUGCCGCGACAAAAACACCAUUGCGCGUUUCCUCCCCGCGGGCCCGGCGAGUGGGCGUGAUGAAGUCGGACAUGUUGGCCGGAGGUUAUCGGACCCCCGCAGACGCUGGCGUGAUGGCUCCAGCCGAGGCCGUUAAAGCUCUUCUCCGUCUACCUUGCCUCGUCCUGAGUGCGCGUGUGUGUGUGUGGCCUCCGUAAUGGCUGUAAAUGCAUCCCGGAUCAUAUACAACCCUAUCCCCACAAAGUAGUGGCCGUUUUGGAUGGGGGGCUGGAGGGUUUGUGGGUGGAGACUACUUUUGAAGAAAGGAAAGUGCGUCAUACCCAGAAGAUAAACCUGGAAGUGCACAACAUUGUGGCGUGUCAGAAUGGAGGGGGGUGGUUUGGGGGGGGGGGAGAAAACAUGCAUCGAAAUACCAUGUAAUAACAGUAAUAACUGCAUUACGACAGUCUAAUUACUUAAAACUAACAAACAAUGCCAAACACCAUAGACAGGCUAACGAAUGGCAGUGCUGUUCUGUUGAUAUAACCCUAAAAGCAACGGCGGAUGCUUGAACGCAACAGACAAGGCAGUGUAAUACUUCCUGACACAUUUUCUUUGUCCUCUACAACGAAUGACUAAUGUUACUGCGGCCGAGCGUCAGCUGUGAAACUCCUCUCGUAUUUAUACUGCAUUGGGGUUAUGCAACAAUACAAGGAGCAGAGGUAAAAUAAAGUGAAUUUCAUCCAUCCA